rnacentral:tRNA from 1 species
GCAGCUGUAGCUUAGUGGUAGAGCGCUUGCCUAGCAUGUGUGAGGCACUGGGUUCAAUUCUCAGCACUGCA